rnacentral:rRNA from 1 species
AUUGAACGCUGCCGGCAGCCCUAACACAUGCAAGUCGAGCGGAUGAAGGGAGCUUGCUCCUGGAUUCAGCGGCGGACGGGUGAGUAAUGCCUAGGAAUCUGCCUGUUAGUGGGGGAUAACGUCCGGAAACGGGCGCUAAUACCGCAUACGUCCUGUGGGAGAAAGUGGGGGAUCUUCGUACCUCACGCUAUCAGAUGUGCCUAGGUCGGAUUAGCUAGUUGGUGGGGUAAAGGCCUACCAAGGCGACGAUCCGUAACUGGUCUGAGAGGAUGAUCAGUCACACUGGAACUGAGACACGGUCCAGACUCCUACGGGAGGCAGCAGUGGGGAAUAUUGGACAAUGGGCGAAAGCCUGAUCCAGCCAUGCCGCGUGUGUGAAGAAGGUCUUCGGAUUUUAAAGCACUUUAAGUUGGGAGGAAGGGCAGUAAGUUAAUACCUUGCUGUUUUGACGUUACCAACAGAAUAAGCACCGGCUAACUUCGUG